AACAAAACAAAAGUGAAAAGUAACCAAUUUUCCAGACAUUGCUAAAAAUUCUCUGUGUGGGAAUCCACCUUUCCCCUCUGACUGGCAGACUUUGGUGGGAGAGGAGACAAGAAAAAGCAUGAGAUCCAUGUGGAGAGGGAGGAGCCAUACUGGCAGGACACUGGAAUCUAUUGUUGGCAGAGCCACUCAAGUCCCAAGUGACCACGGACCACAGCAGCUGCCUGUCUGCCUGUUACCCCAAGCAUGUGGUGAGGGUUCCAGGCUCAGAAGGGCUGUGAUUUCAUGCAGAAUUGAAUGGUGCUACCCAGCAAGUAUUGUGGCACUGUCAGCUUCACUUCAGCAAGAAAACACAACUCCUCAAAGAUGAACAACAACUGGGAUUCACAUCCAAGGCAGGCUGGGUAAUUCUUAUCAGCCAUGCAGGGCUGCUUCCAUUGCCAACACUUCCAGAUCACAGAUUGCAGCCACUUGGGAGUGAGGGAAGCUGAAAUUAAAGAUACAAUGGACAAAGACUCAGGAGUUUGACUGUGAGCAUGUGCAGCAAGAGAGAUUUGGAAUUCUCUGUAAUUAAUGUAGCAAGCUUCAAGGAAAUGGAUUUUUAUGGCUUUGGGAACUAAUCUGACAAACGAAUUAAAUCAAGCAAGGGUUACUCUUUGGAAUCCCUGGGUAAAAAGAGUUUUCUGACUCGGAAUCCAGGGAGCAACUGAAGUCAGAGAUACCUGGGCACUGCCAUUGCCUUAUCUGCCCACGGCCCUGCUGGUGAUUUUGGUGCAAGAACCAGGAGAGUUCAAUGUCUGCAAACAUUGCUCUGAGGCCAUGGUUCUCAUCUAGUAACUGGAGGGGUCUUAGAAACUAUUAGUGCCUGGACUUCAUUCCCAGAGAUUGAUUUCACUGAUAUAGGGUUCAGUCUGGGUAUCCAGACUGUUUUCUUUUUCUUUUGGAUUUUUAAAAAGUCUUUUUUAAAAAAAAUCCUAUUUGAUUUUAAAUAACUCUUACAUGUAUAAGACAUAGAAUUAAAAUUAAAAGUGUACACAGGGAUGAUACAAUAAUAAGUCUGCCCUUGGCCACUCACUUCUCUCAGAGACAACUUCCAGAGAUUGUUUGAAAAUAGACAAGAAGGAAAAAAACAAGAAAAAAUAAAACAAUAAGUCAUAUAUAUUUACAUAUAAAAAUGUAACAUACACUGUUCUACAUUCUGCUUUGCUAUGUUAUCAGUAUGUCUUGAUAAUCCUUGUUUAUGAAAAGUUGCCUUGUUAGUAACAUCUGGCAUUAGUGUGGUACAUGUUUUACAAUGGAUCUGUCAAUAUUGACAGGUAUUACUAACUACAGUCUAUAGUUUACCUUGGGUCCAGUCUUGGCGAUGUACAUUCUCUGGGUUUUAACAAAUGUGUUAAUGACAUGUACCCACCGUUGCAGUACAUACCGGACAGUUUCAUUGCCUUAAAUGUUCCAUGUUCUACCAAUUCAUGUCUCCCUCUGUUCUCACUCCUGGCAACUACUCAUCUUUUUACUGUUUUCAUUAUUUUGCCUUUUCUCGAAUGUCAUAUAGUUGGAAUCAUGCAGUGUAGAAGUCUCAGAAUGGCUUCUUUCACUUAACAAUAUGAAUUUAAGAUUUCCCCAUGUCUUUUUGUGGUUUGAUUGCUCAUUUCUUUGUAUAGCUGAAUAAUAUCCCACUGUAGGAAUGUGCCACGAUGUAUUUAUCUAUUCACCUACUAAGGACAUCUUGGUUGGCAAGUUUUGGCUGCUAUGAAUACAGCUGCUAUAAAUAUUCAUGUGUGGGUUUUGUGUGGACUUCAGUUUUCAGUGCAUUUGGGUAAAUAUCAAGGAUAAUAUUGCUGUAUUGCUGGAUAAUAUGGUGAGAGUAUGUUUCAUUUUGCAAGAAAAUCCCACACUGGCUUCCGAAGUGGCUGUACCAUUUUGCAUUCCCACCAACAAUGAAUGAGAGUUCUUGUUCCUUCACAUCCUCACCAGCAUUUGGUAUUGCCAUUGUGCUGGAUUUGGGUCAUUCUUGUAAGUGUGUAGUGCAUCCCAUUGUUGCUUUAACUUGCAACUCCCUAAUGACAUAUAAUGUUCAGCAUCUUUUCAUGUGUUCAUUUUCCAUAAGCACACGUAUAUCUUCUUUGGUUAGGUGUGUGUUCAGACCUGUUGCUCCUUUUUUAAUCGAGUCAUUGGUUUUCUUACUAUUGAGUUUAUAAAGUUCUUUGUGUAUUUUAGAUACCAGCACAUUAUCAGAUAUGUGUUUUGCAAAUAUUUUCUCCCAGUCCAUGCCUUGUUGUUUCAUUCUCUGAAUAGUAUCUUUUGCAGAACAUAAGUUUUUUAUUUUAAUGAUGUUCAAAUGAAUCUUUCUCUUCCAUGGAUUGUGCUUUUGAUGCUUUUGAUGCUAAAUGU